CGUGCAACAGCUCAUGUAAAAGGCUGUCCUAGGGUAACAGUUAAAUUUCCUUCGUCUCCAUCAACAAGAUGAGUCAAACGAGCUGAAAGAACUUGUUGCUGGGCAGUCGUGUUUCUUGAAUAGAAUUUUUUUUAGUUUGGCUUUUACUCCAUGUUUUGUGAAGUAAUAAGUAUGCAGUAGCAUUAUACGUUGUUUAUCACAAUCUAUAGCAAAGCCAACGUCUCGCCAUUGAGGCCAUAUCAAGGCUAGUAGUACGAAGAUAUUGAAAGUUUAAUAUUUUAAUCUCAAUAUUCUAUCAGGAUGAACAUUAUUUUUGAUUUUUCCUUCUCAAUAAGCAGGAAAGAGUCUUUAAUGAUUGAGGAAAACAAGACUUUGAGUGAGAAAGGUCAAUCGGAGCCAAACCGUCUCCAGCUUCAACUGACCGGAAAGUUGGGGAAAUAAACAACUUUUCGAGAUUCACGUCACGGUCUUUCUGGUAAGAUGGCGUACUCAGCUGGAUACGUACUGUGAGAACGGCAGCGGAAGAAAAAGACUGAUGACAGAGUCAUUAAGAUUCUGGUGUCUGAUACAGCUCAAACACUACUGUUAAGUACCUCGUAUCCGCAAGAACCACGUUUGAAAAGGACCAGUCACAGCAGGAUAUUCGGCCACACAAUGUUGUCACUUUACCAGCAAACUGUAGUUCUGACUGAACUAUGGAAUCCUAGUAUGACAUCUAACUUCAUAAAUGUUGCAAAUGUUUUUUGUUUGUUUUUCCUUCAAGAAAACCUGUGGUUACAUUCUAAAACAUUGUAUAAUAAUGUAAUCAAUAUGUGAGUUAACUGAUCCUGAUCCCCCACCAACGUGGGUUAGAAGUAAGCCUAAGAACUUACAACUCAAAAAUUCAAGGUUCGAUUCGCCGCAGUGGUCUGUAUGCAGAUGUGUCCAAUCUGUAACUGUGUAAACAACAACAAACUGAUGCUGCUUUGUUUUCAAGAAAAGCUUGAGAAAAGAAUCCAUAUGGCUAUAUUCAUUUACAAAACAACUUUUAAAAUCUAUAAAACACUUUCUGAGCGGAUAUGUGUGUUUGUUACUUAAACUUAGAAUGAAAUUUGUGCUCAAAAGAAAUAGAAUGUUUCCAUGGUAUCUAAAUAAAGUCUUGAUUUCAAAACUUUUCUAUUACACUGCUGCUGCUACAUUUCAUACACUUUCAUGCCAUACAACUUGUUAACAAGAAACUGAUUUAUGAACAGUUACCACAGUCUUUUAGAUAUAUAAAUUAAUUGUGGUAUAUAUCAACAUGAUAAGCAGGAUAUCGUGCGUUUGCUAUCUGAUCUACCUCGAAAACUUUUAGCACCAUCAAAUUAAUUCUCCUACUUUUCUUAACACCGCCUAACGGAGUUUAUGGUUAUUAGAUUUACUCAAAAAUGAGUCACUAAAUAAGAAGUUGUUUUUUUUCGAUAACAAUUUACUGAUCAAAUUAGAUUAAAUUUAUGAUCGAUAUUUAAGAAAAAAAUCGUCUGAUUUUGAGCAAAGAAGGCGAAAAGCCACAAGAUAAUUUCUCCAAAUUCGCAACAAAUAAUUAAUAAAAAAACACAGAAAAGUAACUUGGGUGCAGAUUUGAAAAGUCUGUCCAUCUCAAAACUUUGAACUUUGGCUUUAAAAAAAGAUCUAAUCAGAUAAUGUUCUACUUAUACGCCAAGAAGUGUACCAAAGAAAGUUUUCUUUUUACAACUGAAUCAAGUUUAGAAUAAAUCGAUUGCAUUUGAGCUUUUUUAUAAAGGGUGUUGAAGUGUAUUAUUUAUUUAUUCCACCGAGCACACAAGUCUUCGGGCGAAAACAAAAACGCUUGUAAUGCUAUGUUCACUGUAAACUUCUUUGAAAUGCUAUACAAAUUUCUAUUCAUCCUAAUAUCACCAAAAGCAAAAUAAUCGUAAAUGCUUCUAUUAAACUAAUAUUUUAUAGAAAUAUUUUGUAUUUAGUUAUGUUCCUCAUUUUAAUUCACGUUUUACUGAGACUAAAAUCACAAUAUUACAUUCUAUUGUCAGUUACUUGAAAUCAGUGUUCCCCAGUGGCCCAGCAUUAACUCUGCAGGCUUACAACUCUUAAAUUCGGGUUUCGAUACACGUGGUGAGCAGAGCACAGAUAGCCCAUAACCAAACUAAACCAGUAGUAUAAAUUGUUUAGUACUAUGUCACAGUUUUAAGUAUGUUUAUAUUCACUAAUGACUUCAACAUGUAAAAACCAAUAAUAAGUAUUGUUUAGCACAUCGUCACUGUCUUAGUUAAAAACGAUGAUACUUGCUGGUAGCUACUCACUGAAUGGCUGCUUUAUUAUAGGCAAUAGCACUUUAUUAUUAUUAACUUUAGAUAUUUAUCUGUCAACUUAACUGUGUCAAAUAUUAAAGCGUAUA
rnacentral:lncRNA from 1 species